rnacentral:rRNA from 1 species
UUCGAUUAACGCGAAGACCUUUACCCAGACUUGACAUGCAUCGGACUGGUGUGGAAACACACCUUUCCUUCGGGACCGAUGCACAGGUGCUGCAUGGCUGUCGUCAGCUCGUGUCGUGAGAUGUUGGGUUAAGUCCCGCAACGAGCGCAACCCUUGUCCUUAGUUGCUAACGGGUAAAGCCGAGCACUCUAAGGAGACUGCCGGUGAUAAACCGGAGGAAGGUGGGGAUGACGUCAAGUCCUCAUGGCCCUUACGUCUGGGGCUACACACGUGCUACAAUGGCCGGUACAGAGGGUUCCGAUACCGCGAGGUGGAGGCAAUCCCAAAAAACCGGUCUCAGUUCGGAUUGCAGUCUGCAACUCGACUGCAUGAAGUCGGAAUCGCUAGUAAUCGCUGAUCAGCAGGCAGCGGUGAAUACGUUCCCGGGCCUUGUCACACCGAAUCACUA